AGACUUGCCAUGCUUCACCUGCCCACUAGAUGUCCUCAUCAAGAGUCCCUGCUCCCCCUGAUCACCUGUCUGUGCAGCUUCACCUCAUUAUCUUGCCUUUUAUGAUAAUUUACAGCACAAGGUUUAGUCACCACGAUUAUGCGGUUAGUUGGCCUCCAAACUUGCCAGAUCGCAAUUUGAUUGGGCAGCAGAACAAGCCCCACCUCGCAACCUGCAGGACCCAAAGGAUCCACCGCCAGCGUCCCGGUGCCAGAACACCACAGGUCACCCUCAGAGGUCCUUGUUGUGAAAGAUUAAGACCACGACUUGCAGACUUGCUUCCGUGUCUGGUGUUGUUCCUGACUCCUGGCCACAGAGCCACGCAAUCAAAGCCAAAUGAGUCCAUAAACAGACCCUGACAUGCCAGCUGUCAUCUAACGGACAAUUGGCUCUGCCAGCGCUCAUUCGAUGCCGGGUGAGAAAGUAGCAGUUCCUUCUUAAGGUCAGAGAUUGCAGCAUCUGAGGGCCUCUUCAAAAGAAGACGUAGUUGAUGAAGAUGUUCUGGAGCAGGACCAGAAAGACCACGACCAAGCAGCUUUGAGAUCUCAGGCAGCAUCUCCCUCAGACCAAAGACCAACUGACUCUUCACAACCUGCUCAGACACUUGGUACAGGACCUCACCACACGGAUCAAGAAGGUUUCCUUCUGAUUUCUACUCUGAAGCUCACCUCCUGCUCAAACUGCUGACAAAUGUUUCUGCUGCUCUAAAGUCUGGUCUCCAGAACUUCCUAAAACUCUCAAAGUCUCUUCUGCUGCAGGUUGCUUUGUAGAACUGUUACAGAAAACCUCACUAAACCACGUGGAGGGGCCUCAAGAUAGUCAUCCAAAUGAAACCGUACAAAAACCAAACUAGCACAACCCAAACACUAAAGUCUCCUGCAGCCUACCAGAGAACCUCUCUAAACAGAGAAUCAGGACAGGAACUCUUACCUUCUGGACAACCAACGUUGGUUGACAAACAGGAAUACAGAAUGUGUCUGACCAAAAACCUCUAAAGACUUACUAAAGCCAAGAAAAAGACACAACUCAGCUACACCAAACCCACUAAUUACUGCACACAUUAGCACCAUGUGCUAACUGUGGCUAAAUAACUGCAUUUACCAAGACAACUAUCCAGUACAAAGCCCUAAAACACACGAAGAAACACAUUAAAGUCAAUUUUACUGCUGGAAGCUGCAAGCCAACACCUAAAGAACAAACUAAAGCGACGGAGCGAAACUCGGUUCAGUGAAGAGAAGCAGAGGAAAUGUUUGACUGCAGACAUAAAGCAGGAAGACACUGAGCUGCUCAGGCGUUCCUGAUAACACCAAGCAACCACCUGGACAGCCAAUAGGAACACAGCUUACUGGAAGUCCAGAGGGCUGGGUUAGUGAAGUAAAUUUAGUGUAAAUUUGAAGCAGAAAGUUAACAAAGAAAGUUGAAAACCACCUUCCGAUACCUGAAAUCUCUGAGUUUUCACACAUAGAAUGCCUGAACAUGUCGAACUGGUUUCAUAGUCGAACCGUCACUGUAAAAACGUGAUAGUAUGGUGUGUUGCUCAAAAAACAUUACAACCGGCUGUGUAUUUUGUCGAGGAGCAGCACAAAAACACGACUCAUUGUGGAGGGCUUCCUGCUUUACACCUACAGGCCUUUGAUGGACGCGCUAAACCAACGUUACUUUAUUUCCAUCCCAUAUGAAGAAUGCAAAAAGAGGAAGUGCUCUAGGAAGUAGACGGUGCCAGACCCCCCCGGCCUGUUCGAUGGCCACGUCUGGACCAUGGACCUGCAACACAAGAACAUCUGCUCACUGUUAAAGAUUAUUGAGAGCAGCUUUUUGUGAUUUCUGUGCAGAACACUUUGAUGUUUGCUGAGCUGUGCACUAUGAAAUGACUUAAGAAUGUGGAAUAUUGCUACUCUUUAUUAUUGUUCUCAGGUUUACUAUUAAAUGUAUAGAGUGCUACUUCGUGUAUUUUUAAAUUUACAUUACUGCACAGAACAUUUCAGAUUAUUUUACCACAGAUCAAGGGUACAGAUUGUUGUUGUUCACUGUGUAUUGGGUAGUACUCAUUUUGAUUUAGACUGAUUAGUAUACAGAACCCUAUGAUGUUUAUGGUUUACGGCUGAGAACUAGUUGCUAAAAGUACAGAAUAUUAUUUGUUAUUUUAGGAAUGAUAAUUGUCAGUAAACAUUCUAAGAAGUGGAAAUUGACAGGGUUGUAUAUAGUGCUGUUCUUGCACAAUAUUUGCUUACUAGUUUUACAUAACAGAUGCUGCAGCUGAUGAUGCUGUGAUUCACAUAAACAAGGAAAGAAGUCCAUCAUAAUUUGAAUGUUAACAGUCCAAAAUGAAAAGGUGAAAUACAGCUUUCCUAUUGGGCUAAAGAGCAAAAAAACAAAAAAAAAAACAUGAAAAAUACUUUGUAAAAGUGAGAGGUCGGUCGCAGCUUUCAUUUUUUCUUACAACUUUUCGGUGGCCUCCCCGAAAUAUCUGUUGUACCCCCCUGUGCCCGCCCCACUAAGAUUAAUCUGGAUCCGCCUCUGAUAAGGUGUCUCCCAGUCUGCAGAAGUUUGACAGAACAUGGAUAUUCCAGCAUGAAAACAACCCAAAGCCCACUGCACACAAAAGUUUUUAAAGAAGCAAAAGUGAAAACUAUGACCUGGCUGAGUAUGUUACCCGAAUUUAGUCCAGCAGAACUCCUUUGGGGUAUUUUAAACAGAAAAGCAGAGCAACACAAUGCCUUCAGCAAAGUACAGCUGAAAAAAAUAUCUCUGGCAAAACAUCUGUCCAGACUGUGCAACUGUGGUGUCCCUCAUGUCGAGUAGGGUUGAGUCUGUCAUCCAAAGUAAAGGUGGACAAAGAGAGACCAAACUGACUUUUGUUGCACUGAGUUCCUGCUGUGGGGCCUGUAAUUUUAAUAUUCUAACUGUUAGUUUUAAUGCACAAGAGCAAAUACUGUAAUGUUCAGCUUAGAAGCAAUGCAGUUACUGUAAGGUUUUAAUCAUUUGGCAAUGACGUGGCACAGGGGUGUACUCACUUCUGUUGUAUUCUGUGCACUAAUCAGCUCACCAUCUGGAGAAUAUAUACACUUUGAGUGGGUUGUGUGGGCCCUGAACAAAUGAUUGGAAGUCUGGUAGCAGCUCGUCUCCCGGUUUGCCUAUUAUGAGGGAGUGAGCAGGCUGGAGGACCUCAGCUGUAUGUGGACCCAUGACAGACAACUGAUUGUGUGCUUCUCUGUGUUGGGACGGUGAGCGGUGGUUCUGCUGGCGGUGAAAGUGUUAACAGUUGCAGUAUUUUGUUCUUUAUGUGUGGAUUUUAAAAUGUGUCACAGCCUCUAAGCUGUACCUAGCGAAACAGUUUCAUAAAUGCUAAGAAUGAAUGCGGAAUUAAAUUCAAAACCCUCUCGCA